AAAAAUGGAAGUGCAUGUACGUGGUGGGCAUGGGAAAGAGAAUGGGCAUAAAAAUAAAGAACGAUGAGAUGGAAACGACUAUGCAUGACAGGGAGGAUGAUUAAAGAUAACGAAAAUAUGGGUGUGAUGGAUGGGUGAGUCAAAUGGUUUUGAUGGGUAUUGGAAUGGUGAAAAGGUGGUGAAAAUGGAAUGAAUAUGCAUGCACGUGGCGGGUAAGGGAAGUACGAAAGAGAGGUAGGGAGAUAGGUUCGGUGGGCAUGAAAAUAUCAGGGAGAGAUGUAGGUUUAGUGGUAUGG
rnacentral:lncRNA from 1 species